rnacentral:rRNA from 1 species
UGCAUAUCAAUAAGCGGAGGAAAAGAAACCAACAGGGAUUGCCCCAGUAACGGCGAGUGAAGCGGCAACAGCUCAAAUUUGAAAUCUGGCCCCUAGGGCCCGAGUUGUAAUUUGCAGAGGAUGCUUUUGGCGAGGUGCCUUCCGAGUUCCCUGGAACGGGACGCCAUAGAGGGUGAGAGCCCCGUCUGGUUGGAUGCCGAGCCUCUGUAAAGCUCCUUCGACGAGUCGAGUAGUUUGGGAAUGCUGCUCUAAAUGGGAGGUAUAUGUCUUCUAAAGCUAAAUACCGGCCAGAGACCGAUAGCGCACAAGUAGAGUGAUCGAAAGAUGAAAAGCACUUUGAAAAGAGGGUUAAAUAGUACGUGAAAUUGUUGAAAGGGAAGCACUUAUGACCAGACUUGGACCCGGUGAAUCAUCCAGCGUUCUCGCUGGUGCACUUUGCCGGGCUCAGGCCAGCAUCAGUUUGCCUCGGGGGAUAAAGGCUUUGGGAAUGUGGCUCCCUCGGGAGUGUUAUAGCCCAUUGCACAAUACCCUGGGGCGGACUGAGGUUCGCGCAUCUGCAAGGAUGCUGGCGUAAUGGUCAUCAGUGACCCGUCUUGAAACACGGACCA